UAGCAUAUCAAUAAGCGGAGGAAAAGAAACCAACAGGGAUUGCCUCAGUAACGGCGAGUGAAGCGGCAACAGCUCAAAUUUGAAAUCUGGAGCCUUUGGCUUCCGAGUUGUAAUUUGAAGAGGAUGUUUCGGUGCGACCUGGGCCUAAGUUCCUUGGAACAGGACGUCAUGGAGGGUGAGAAUCCCGUACAUGGCUGCAGGUUUGCUUCUAUGUGAAACUCCUUCGAAGAGUCGAGUUGUUUGGGAAUGCAGCUCAAAAUGGGUGGUAAAUUUCAUCUAAAGCUAAAUAUUGGGGGGAGACCGAUAGCGCACAAGUAGAGUGAUCGAAAGAUGAAAAGCACUUUGAAAAGAGAGUUAAACAGUACGUGAAAUUGUUGAAAGGGAAGCGCUUGCAAUCAGACUCGCCUUCAGUUGAUCAGCCUUCCUUCUGGUUGGUGCACUCUGCUGUUGGCGGGCCAGCAUCAGUUGGGGCGGUGGGACAAAGGUAGCAGGAAUGUGGCUCGCUUUGGUGAGUGUUAUAGCCUGCUGCGUCAUGCCACCAGUCCCGACUGAGGUCCGCGGUUCGCCUAGGAUGCUGGCUUAAUGGUUGUAAGCGACCCGUCUUGAAACACGGACCAAGGAGUCUAACAUCUAUGCGAGUCUUUGGGUGAAAAACCCAUGGGCGAAAUGAAAGUGAACGGAGGUGGGAGUCCUCGGAUGCACCAUCGACCGAUCCUGAUGUUCUCGGAUGGAUUUGAGUAGGAGCAUAGCUGUUGGGACCCGAAAGAUGGUGAACUAUGCCUGAAUAGGGUGAAGCCAGAGGAAACUCUGGUGGAGGCUCGCAGCGGUUCUGACGUGCAAAUCGAUCGUCAAAUUUGGGUAUAGGGGCGAAAGACUAAUCGAACCAUCUAGUAGCUGGUUCCUGCCGA
rnacentral:rRNA from 1 species